UGGGGAAUAUUGCACAAUGGGCGCAAGCCUGAUGCAGCAACGCCGCGUGAGGGACGACGGCCUUCGGGUUGUAAACCUCUUUUAGUAGGGAAGAAGCGAAAGUGACGGUACCUGCAGAAAAAGCACCGGCUAACUACGUGCCAGCAGCCGCGGUAAUACGUAGGGUGCAAGCGUUAUCCGGAAUUAUUGGGCGUAAAGAGCUCGUAGGCGGUUUGUCGCGUCUGCUGUGAAAACUGGAGGCUCAACCUCCAGCCUGCAGUGGGUACGGGCAGACUAGAGUGCGGUAGGGGAGAUUGGAAUUCCUGGUGUAGCGGUGGAAUGCGCAGAUAUCAGGAGGAACACCGAUGGCGAAGGCAGAUCUCUGGGCCGUAACUGACGCUGAGGAGCGAAAGCAUGGGGAGCGAACA
rnacentral:rRNA from 1 species